rnacentral:lncRNA from 1 species
CGCUCUUCGCGGGGCAUCGUGCCCUGAGCGAGAAAAGCCACCUGCUGCCCUGCUUCCCUCCCAGUACCCCCAUGGGGGACCACAGCCCCCCCAGAUCCCCCCGCGGCCUCAUAAAAGUAUAAGAAGCUCCACCAGUCCAGGCUGAAGGAUACCCUGAGCAGCAGCCUGGGGAGGAUGCUUGUGAGAGCAGAACGGGUUUUGCCUACCCAUUGAGGAGAAUGGAAAGAUGAUGGUAUGUGCAAGCCAUAAAUGAGGACUCAUCACCGCGUUUCCCAAAGGCUUGCUUGACCUCCAGCCUGGAUGGAGACAUCCAUGGGGUGGGAGAUUGGACCACGCAGCCAGGACCAUCCCAGUGUCCAGCACACAUCUGUAACCCCUGGAAGCGACAAAUGCACACAACUUGCCAGCUGGACUGUCCCAUCGAAAUGGCCAAAUCCCAGCUUGCUUUUUAGCUGGCUCUCCUCACUGGAUGAUGAAGCAAAGCCUCUUGCUGCAAAUCCACUGUAUCAGUUGUUCACCCAGUUCGUAAAGAGAUCGCUGCCAUAAAAUGCUCUUCUCAAACUGUGCGGUGCACAGCAACACAUGGGGAUGGGCAAUAGGAGCAAUAGGAGUAGGGAGAAAAGUGCUGGUGUUGGGGUUCCUGCAGCCAAGGGAAAGGCCAGCUGCUUGCUCCAGCAUCCAGUGGAACGGUCAGAGUGGAGGUGAUCUGGAUGAAACAAGGCUUGGAUGUGCCACUAGAUGGAGUUUGACACGAGACAGCCCCAUGUCCCCAUCCUGCUGACAAGAUGAUCUCUAGCGAAGGUGGUCUCCAACUCAGGUGGGAGAUGGGAGUUGCUGAGGUCCAGUAAAAGACCCCAAGCCCCCAGACAGUGGAGUCCAUCCCAAGUUCAUGCAUGGAAAUCCUGCAUGGUGCCUUCCCAUCAGUUUAAACUCAAGAAAGCUCCAAUAUCAGAUCACUGAGUGCACAAAGAGGCACAACAGCCAUGGCCAUGCCCAGACACCCUAGUCUGGAUGGGCCAAGCAAUGCCCAACAGAGCAGUCAGAGACCAGGCUUCCAAGGACACUGUGGUUUGGCCAACUCUCAGCAUACAUUUUGCAGGAUUUGCUGUUUCCUUCAAGAUCCAGCUGCUGGAGUCAGGGGAUUAGUGAAGAAAGGCUGUAUCCUUCUGCUUUAUCCCUGUCUGACCCAUGGGGUUGUAAAGACCUUCUCAUAAUGUGCAGCUUGCAGAUGGCAUCUAAGGAGCGUGCAGUGUAUGCUUUGAUUUCAGAUCGUUUUUAAAGCCAGACUUGUGACUUGCCAGGCCUUGACCCAAGAACACUUGGAAGUGUGUGUGGGAGCCACUUCCCUUGCUGCAAACACCUUGUUGCCCUUGGCCCCUUCCCCCCACAGGCCACUGUGGGUGGUAACCCUUCCCUCCUACUUGUUGUCGACAGACUUGCUGAGGAUGCACUCAGUCUCACUGUCCAUGUCACCAACAAGAUGUCCCAGUAUAGAUCCCUGGGAGGCACCACUGGUCACUGGUCUCUACCGGGACACCAAGCCCUUGACCACAACUCUUUGAGUGCAACAAUCCAGCCAAUUCCCUAUCCACCAAGUGGUCCACCCAUCCAUCUCCAAAUAUGGCGACACAGAUGCAGACAAGCGUGGCUGCAAAUGACACAAUGGUGCAUUUUUGUGAGCCUGCACAUCCCAAGGCCAUGUACAUCUCCCCUUCCUGCCCCCAGAGGGGCAUCAGCACAGGGAGAAUCACAAAAACUCAUCCAGUGUGGAUGAAAUACAAAUACCCACCACCCAGCUUGCGCUGGAGGUCUCAUGAAGCUGUUGCCCCCUAUAGCCCAUCUUCUACCCAAGCAGAGGCCUGUAUGGACAGUGUGAUGGGCAGGCUUAAAGUUAGUCAUUCACUUUUCUGAUCUACAGUUGGAUUGGCCAAUCCACGGGGAGAAACCAGUAUCUUUGACAUCAUUGAGGCUUUUGACAAUGUUCCUAGAGCCAGUCCAAGCCAUCCCUAUGUGAGACAGCUCACGCAAAGAGUGACUGUGAUGGAGAUGAAGGGACUGUCCUGGACUUCCCUGGAGCCACCACCACUGAAAGAAGCUCAGAAAGGAGGGCAGAGCUCACAGCCAUGGAACAGGUCCUUUGCAGAUGGAUGAGACAGAAAGAGGCAAUGGCAGCUUGAGAGGUGGGAUAUAGGAGCAAGAGCAACCAAGGCAGGCAGGAGAGCAGGGAUACAUGGGCUGGAGAUGGCUGAAGAUGACCUGCAGGAGAAGACAAAGAUUUGUCAUUGCAAGUGUGGGCAGAGGGGCUGGGAUGAAGGUAUGUGGCAGGUGAGGAUGGAGUCAGGAUGGGAGCUGGCAAACAGCAUUGCUCACCUCAAUGGGCCCUGAGCUGCCUCCAGUCCUAGAGUUAGAGUUCAAUGCCACAUACAGAGGAUGUCUCAGGUAAUCCCAAACAAAGAUAGAAAUCUGGACAAAUGAGAAUGGAUUUUUCAUUCAAAAGAUCUACAGGGAGGAUACAGUGCUGAAGAGAAAGCAAAGCCUACAAACCAUAAUCUACCAAAAGCCCUUUUUCGUCUGAUAUCUCUUCCCACACAUACGUGGUAGAAAUGGAUGGUCUUACUGGUCUUUUCCAGUGAUUCUGUGGUUCUAUGAUAACUGAGGGCAAGUCACCAUCACGUGAAGCAGGCAGAGACCAGGACAGAGAGGCACUCAAAGUGGAUUAGCUUUGAGAUUGGGUUAAUUGCGCCUCUCCAUCAUUUGUUUGGUUUGGGAUCGAUCCAAAGCAUAUGAAUGAAUUCCCCCCAUGCAUGCUACGUUGCUGACAAGCGGAUAUUGCAUCUGGUUUGAAUAUGGCAAGUGGCUGCAGACGCAGAGACAGUGUAGAGCUGCUUGAAAUACAACACACACCUCCUCACGCUCCAGGCCCCUACGGGCCAUGUGCCCCAUAGUAACGCUAUGCUGCAAGACCCCACCCCAUGUCCCCAAGCUUUUGCCAUAAGCUAUGCGUGCUAUCAUCUCAGAUCCCUAUCAUCUUGACGCUGCCACAGCCAAGCAGCUCAUACCCCUGGCCAAAUGUUUUUUUCUUUGGGAUUUGCUUGCUUUUUAUGAGGAAGAUGGGAAAACAUUGGCCUACUGGGAACAGGUGUUCCCAAUAAGUUCUCAUUUUGGUUUGUCCCACAAGGACAUGACAUAAGGUUAUGUUGGUCCAAGUGGCCACACCACAGAGGACUGGGAGGUGAUGGAUGUGCGCUGGUUUCCCUGCCGGGCAAUUGUUGUUGGCAUUUCUGUCUCAGAGAUGGGAGAUGGAGGAAGCCUGGAGCUUUCCACACUCAUAAUGCUUGGAGUCCGUCAUUGUCUGGAGGGCAAAGGGUCUUCCCUACUGCCACCACCCAUCGCACCCAUUCAUAGGUUCACUCCGUCUCCCACCAUGACCAGCAGAGAGAGAUGCCAAUGUCUGGGCCAGGAGAUCCACGCAGGGCCCUCCCUCCUCCUCGCAGGACAGCUGAGCUCUGAUUUGCACAGGUGUUGAGCACCCUCCAUCCCCAGCGGCCCUUGGAGCUGUCACGAUCACUCAGCACCUCCCAGGAUCUGGCCUUUUUUCCCCUGUUCUUUUUAUGAAGACAUUAUUUUACGGCUUGUUAAUUUGUACUUUUUCAAGCUUUUAACAGGGAGCAGGGGCCAAGUCCCCAGGCAGCCCAUUGGCCGUGAGGAAUCCCAUUUGGUAUCAUAUAAAUUAUUGCAGAUAUUACUAAUAUUGCGUGUAUUGUGUAAAUACUGACUAAAUGUUUGAAAAACACAAAUAAAUACGAGCUGAGCUGAUGGCUGGAGCAGCUGCCUAUGAGCCAUUCUGGGCCCCGGGGGAAAGAAUCCACAUUUUAAACUAAUGUGUAAAUAUGUAACCUGCCUCCAUCCCCUGCCAGAUCGGCAUGAGCAGUCCUUGGAACCGGCCCAGUCCCUCAGCUGCAUGGUUAUGAUUUAACAACAGCUAUAUAUACAUCUCAUCCGCCGGGCAACUGCGCAAACAAGGGUUCACCUGGCAGCGAGGGGUCACCCAGGAGUCUCCCACCUGAGACUGCUGCACACAGAGGCCAGGAGGCCAACCAGGCUCCAAGGGCUCCCAGUUUCUUAAAGCUACCCACAGUUUCUGUACCCGAUCAGAGCAAUGCAGCAGCCCACCCGUAGGAAUAGAUGGGCUGCUGGUGACAGCAAAGCACCUUUUUAAUGACAGUCCCUCCCGUCAUUUGCCAGCUCUUCCCUACUGCAAGAAAGUCAGAGUCCUCCAGAGUCACAGCCCCUCGAAGCCAUCCAAAGCCCCAGAACAGCCAGAGGGCAGGACUGGCUGAGCCUCACGUCCUGCCAUCCCAUCAGCCUCCCACCUUGGUAUCCCAUCAGCUUCCAACACUGGAAGUUUCCAGCCUCUCCCCA